rnacentral:rRNA from 1 species
UACGGGGGGUGCAAGCGUUAAUCGGAAUUACUGGGCGUAAAGAGUUCGUAGGUGGUAUGAUAAGUCAAAUGUGAAAGCCCAAGGCUCAACCUUGGAACUGCAUUUGAUACUGUCAAACUAGAGUAUAGUAGAGGAGUGAGGAAUUUCUAGUGUAGCGGUGAAAUGCGUAGAUAUUAGAAGGAACACCAAUGGCGAAGGCA